UAAACAACAUCUGUAGAGAUCUGACUGACAAACAUCUCUCUGGGACUCAUCAUUGCAGCUUGCAGCAGGUGCACUCCACUUUGUAGCCCUUCUCAAAAAGAGGGCCUGUCAUCUCAGCAUUGACAGGAUCAGAUGAAAAACACAAUCAAUGUUUUGACAUUUUUUGAGAAUCGCUCAGAUUGAAUGCUAAAUGCUGCAUUCUAAGGGGAUUAUCACCUCCCUUCCUCCUCUGCUCCAGCUGAGAAGAGAAUUUGGUUUUCCAGGGUUGGGAGGAGUAAUUCCUGAUUUUGCUGUAGCUGAUUCUUUUGGGAAUGAAUGACCUACUAGGGUAUGCCUACAUAGUUCAUGGCAGCGAGCCUCCCAGCCCAGAUGAACAGACUUGGUGAGAUGUGUGAAGACUCUUCCUCCCUUGAUACUAAGAUCCCGUCAGCUUCUGCACCCAAGAACUAACUUCAGGACCACAAUGGAGCUGAGCUGAUCCUGCCAACUUCCUCUACGUUUUCUGGGACCAUGAAAGAACUGGCAACCCUACCUUUUAAUACUGAUUUAUUUUUAGUUCAUUUAUGAAAACUAUUCAACAAAUCCCAAGAUCAGAGAGUAAUUUGUAAUAAUUUGUAAGCCACUGUUAAAAAGAAAUUAAAAUGAAUAGCGCUUCUUAACACUGACAGUUUUAAAUUGCUAUUGUUUGCAUCAGUUUAAUAUUUGAAUAUUAGCAUGGGAUCAUCAGAAUUAAAUAUGAAAAGACCUAUUGAGUCAUCUAGACCUUCCCCCUUUAAAAGAUAUAUACACCUGAGGAAUUUAAUGUAUUUUCUGUACAUUUAAAGGCUUGAAAUUAUGACUAUAUAGUGAGGGUAUUUUUGUACUUUCUGUAUUUUCUGUUAAUUUGUCUUAUUUAGAUAAGUGCCAUUUAAAAUAUAUCUUGACAUGUAAGCUUUUUUGUGAUUUAGUUCACAUAGUAAUGUAAGAUUGUUUGUUUGUAUUUCUACUCACUUUUUUUCUGAAGUAAAUUUUCAUUUUGUUAAAUAUAAGCCUGUGUAUUAAGUUGUGUAUUGCACAAAUACGUUUAGGGCCCAAUCCAAUUCCUGUUGAAGUAAUGAGAAUCUUUCCUUUGGCUUCAAUAGAAGUUGGAUCAGACUCUUAAGCCAGAGCUGUCUAUAGCCAGCUUUUGCACUGUAUUAGUCUGUUGUGUUGAGAAUGAUCUGCUACAUCAAUAAAGCCCUGGCUUCUUUGUACAAUGAAAGUCUAUGGAGAGAAGGGGUUACCAUGAAAUAUUGUUUAAUCAUAUUAAUCAUUUAAUCAUCAUAAACAAGAUGAAUAUUUUUUCAUCAAUUUUUGUUACUUAACAGAUAUAUAAAUAACUGGAUUCUGUUUUGUUUUUGAGCUUGUUUGGCCUGCUUGUGAGACUAAAUAGAGGAAGCUGGGAUGAGAGCAAUAGACGUUUUUCUGGAUUCAAGAUUUUCCCUAGUUAAUAUGCACUCUGUAAAAGGUUAAUUCAAGAGCCUGAUUUUUUUUUUUAUAUGUAAGGUAGCAUAUCUCAGAUUUAAUACUUUUGUACUAUUGUCUAAUUAUUUGUAGUUCUAAAGAAAACACUUAACUGCCAAGAAUCACAAAAACAUAAAAUAUUAAGCAUUACUUCAUGCAGAUAGCUUAUUACAUUGGUCCUCUGUCUGCACUGGCUGCCUGCUUGUUUCUAAGGGUGGUUUUAAAGGUAUUUUGUUUUUGACCUUUAAGUCCCUGAAUAGUUUGGGACUUGGCUGUGUGAGGGACCCUCUCUUUUUUUAGGUGUUACCACCACAGUUACCAUCAGGAGAGGUGCUUAAGCUACCAAGACCCUCAUUUAAAAGACUCUUAGUGAAUUUUCCAUGUUAGGUCAAGGGACUCUAUAACUAGCUUGCCAUCCUGAUCUGCCAGAGCCUAGUUUUGUUAGCAUUCAGAGCACAAGUCUAUCUUACUCGCUGCCUUUUCCUGAAGUUAGUUGAGGAUUAUUGAGGGCUUAUAAUUUUUAUUGUAUUUUAUUUUAUUCUUUUUUUUUUUAGGUGAGUAUUAUUCUGAUUUGGGUUAUUUGGCUUCAACUGGUUAUAUUUUGUGACUUGUUUUUCUAUAUUUUAAAUAUUGUAAAAAACCCAUUUCUUUGAUAUCUGGGGUCUGUACACCUGGGCUUUUGGUUUGAAAAUGUGAUCCUGGAACAUCAGAUCCUAUAUUAAUUUAAAUAUGUCUCAGCAUAACCAGUAUGAAUAAAAGUUGGUGAGAGAUGAGUUAUGUACUUGCUGACAUUUCAGUUUGACUGGCAGAGGGAGGAUAAAGUGUGUAAAUUGAAUAUUUCCAUGUUCACUUUUGAUUUUUUUAAGUUCUGUUUAGAACUUUACCUUUGUUUUUAAUAAUUAUUUGAUAAUUGCAGUCGAUAAUAUACCACAUUGCUUUCUAUCAUGUUUCUGUAAUUUGUGUUCUGUUUUUUUCCCAAUAAAUGCCCCUGUACACACACACUAUUUUUUUGUAGAUAAACUACAUUCUUCUUUUGUUUUUUUAUUUUUCAAAUCUGCAGAUUGGAUUUAGUGUUGCAUUUAUAAUGUUGAGUGGACUUGUUCUCUGUCUGUUCUUGUAUCAGAGAACUUCAUAUUGAAUUUUUAGUGAUUUGUUUUACUGAACUUAUUGAAAAAAGUUUGUGUAAUUUGCUAAAAAAGUUUGCAGAAUUAAAGACAGUUACAGUAUAAUGCACUUUUAUGCUUCUUCUAAUUUUCAAAAUCAAAUGUAAAAAUAUCUUAACACUAGUUCUAGAAUGCAUAAGCGACAUUCAACUGUUCCUCUAAUUAUUUGUCUAUUUAUAGUUUACUAUCUUGUUAAAUGUAUCUACAUGAAAAAAGUUAGAAUUUUUAAAUAUCAGACUGUAUUUUCUUAUAAAAUUGCAUAAUCUGUUGAGCUAAAAAUGUUUGAGAUGUAUUUGCAAGAAAGUUUAGUAUAUUUGUAUAUUUUUAUUUAAAUGUAAUUUUGAUCCUAAUUAUUUGAUUUGUAAUAUUUAAAUAUAUUUUUCUUUCUUAAUAACAACAGCCAGUGACUAUGAGAACAAUAUACAACAGUAUUGUGGUAGUGCUCACCUUGUACUAUGCACUUCCACAUGGCUAUGCGGACAAAAUUCCCUAUCUUGAAGAUUUCACACUAAGAAAGAAAAGCAACUUACAAAAUGGCUGUGACUGUUUCUCUCUGAUUUGGACCUUGCUGUUGUGACCAAUCCUCUGUAAAAUGAAAGCUGGAAUAAUUGCAGUGCCUUCCACUUGGACUACCCCUGAAGACAUACUGAAACUGAAGUUAGUAGUGAAAAAGUAUUGUCUCAGCUGAGUGGGGUAAGCCAUUAUAAGCAUGUAACACUAAAGCUUCGUGCUCUGCACCUGCUGCAUUUUCAGUUUUAAGCAUAUUUCAGAUUGUUGGUUAUGUUCUUUAAAGCUCUAUAUAGACUGGGUCCAAGUUCUGAGAGAUUACCUUUCUCUCUGUGUGUCUAGGCUUCCCAUGUAUCUAUCUAUCUGCUUAUAUGGCCCUCUUCAUCACCUCUCAUUUAACUAAAAGAAAAAAAAUUGAAGCAAAGCUCUUCCUUGGUCUCUCUUCCUUCUCUGCCUGCAGGAGCAGCUUGAAAGUAGCAUUGUCCCUCCCUCUUUUUCCUGCUUCUACCCCCAUAAAUGUGUGAGUAGUCCUGUGGAAAAGCUAAAAUGAACAAAUGGGUUUGGUAUUUAGCUCUUGAGGCCAUAAAUUUUAGUGAUUAG